CACGUAGGGUGCGAGCGUUGUCCGGAAUUAUUGGGCGUAAAGAGCUCGUAGGCGGUGUGUCGCGUCGGCCGUGAAAACCUACAGCUUAACUGUGGGCGUGCGGUCGAUACGGGCAUCACUGGAGUUCGGCAGGGGAGACUGGAAUUCCUGGUGUAGCGGUGAAAUGCGCAGAUAUCAGGAGGAACACCGGUGGCGAAGGCGGGUCUCUGGGCCGAUACUGACGCUGAGGAGCGAAAGCGUGGGGAGCGAACAGG
rnacentral:rRNA from 1 species